ACAUGCAAGUCGAGCGCGGGAAGCAAGCGGAUCCCCUUCGGGGGUGAAGCUUGUGGAACGAGCGGCGGACGGGUGAGUAACACGUGGGCAACCUGCCUGUAAGACUGGGAUAACCCCGGGAAACCGGGGCUAAUACCGGAUAACACCGGACUCCACAUGGAGUCUGGUUGAAAGAUGGCUUCUCGCUAUCACUUACAGAUGGGCCCGCGGCGCAUUAGCUAGUUGGUGAGGUAACGGCUCACCAAGGCGACGAUGCGUAGCCGACCUGAGAGGGUGAUCGGCCACACUGGGACUGAGACACGGCCCAGACUCCUACGGGAGGCAGCAGUAGGGAAUCUUCCGCAAUGGACGAAAGUCUGACGGAGCAACGCCGCGUGAACGAUGAAGGUCUUCGGAUCGUAAAGUUCUGUUGUCAGGGAAGAACAAGUGCCGUGCGAAUAGAGCGGCACCUUGACGGUACCUGACGAGGAAGCCCCGGCUAACUACGUGCCAGCAGCCGCGGUAAUACGUAGGGGGCAAGCGUUGUCCGGAAUUAUUGGGCGUAAAGCGCGCGCAGGCGG
rnacentral:rRNA from 1 species